rnacentral:rRNA from 1 species
GGAUAACUUACCCUUAGGACUGGGAUAACUCUGGGAAACCGGGGAUAAUACUGGAUAUUAGGCUAUGCCUGGAAUGGUUUGCCUUUGAAAUGUUUUUUUUCGCCUAAGGAUAGGUCUGCGGCUGAUUAGGUCGUUGGUGGGGUAAUGGCCCACCAAGCCGACGAUCGGUACGGGUUGUGAGAGCAAGAGCCCGGAGAUGGAACCUGAGACAAGGUUCCAGACCCUACGGGGUGCAGCAGGCGCGAAACCUCCGCAAUGUACGAAAGUGCGACGGGGGGAUCCCAAGUGUUAUGCUUUUUUGUAUGACUUUUCAUUAGUGUAAAAAGCUUUUAGAAUAAGAGCUGGGCAAGACCGGUGCCAGCCGCCGCGGUAACACCGGCAGCUCGAGUGGUAGCUGUUUUUAUUGGGCCUAAAGCGUUCGUAGCCGGUUUGAUAAGUCUUUGGUGAAAGCUUGUAGCUUAACUAUAAGAAUUGCUGGAGAUACUAUUAGACUUGAAGUCGGGAGAGGUUAGAGGUACUACCGGGGUAGGGGUGAAAUCCUACAAUCCUGGGAGGACCACCUGUGGCGAAGGCGUCUAACUGGA